UACGAAGGGGGCUAGCGUUGUUCGGCUUUACUGGGCGUAAAGCGCGUGUCGGCGGGUUUGUAAGUUGGGGGUGAAAGGCCGGAGCUCAACUCCGGAAUUGCCUUCAAGACUGCAAACCUGGACCCAUGGAGAGGCAAGUGGAAUUGCGAGUGUAGAGGUGAAAUUCGUAGAUAUUCGCAGGAACACCAGUGGCGAAGGCGACUUGCUUGACAUGUGGUGACGCUGAGACGCGAAAGCGUGUGGAGCAAAUAGG
rnacentral:rRNA from 1 species